ensembl:lncRNA
CAGAGGGAGCUGUUCAACAACCCAUCAUCCCUUACAGACUGGACCAGCCACUAACAGUGAGCUCUGUUCAACAACCCAUCAUCCCUUACAGACUGGACCAGCCACCAACAGAGGGAGCUGUUCAACAACCCAUCAUCCCUUACAGACUGGACCAGCCACCAACAGAGGGAGCUGUUCAACAACCCAUCAUCCCAUACAGACUGGACCAGCCACUAACAGUGAGCUGUUCAACAACCCAUCAUCCCAUACAGACUGGACCAGCCACCAACAGAGGGAGCUGUUCAACAACCCAUCAUCAAACUGACUGGACCAGCCACCAACAGAGGGAGCUGUUCAACAACCCAUCAUCAAACUGACUGGACCAGUCACCAACAGAGGGAGCUGUUCUACAGCCCAUCAUCAAACUGACUGGACCAGCCACCAACAGAGGGAGCUGUUCAACAACCCAUCAUCCCAUACAG